rnacentral:misc_RNA from 1 species
GGACACUCAUGCGAGUAUGCGGUCUCUCUCUUCUCUGGUAACACGGCGGGAAACUGAUAAUUUUGGGGAAAAACCCUCCAAAACCAUCCGAAAUCUAAAUUCCUUAACUUUAAACCCUAACCCUCUCUUCCCUUUUCCAAUUUCCCCAAAUCCCCAAUUGUCAGUUUCACUGCUGAAAUCCACACUCUGAGGAGAGCGAGAGAGCAAAAGAACCCACCAACUCUUUUGCUCUCCCUCUCUCUUCCGCACCAACACCACCUUAAUUUUCCCCUUUCCAUGGCAUUUCUCCAUAAACGCAAAGACCACCACCACAAAUUCCAACGGCCACCGCUUGGGCGCGAGUACGGCGAAGAAGGUGAAGAUAUUAACGUCGAUACCCACACUGACGCGCCCUUGCGAUACGUUUCUUUGGAUCGUGUCUACUCUGCUGCUUCUCUCUGCGUUAGUGCCAGUGGAUCGUCUAACGUUAUGUCCAAGAAGGUUAAAGCCCGGAAACUCAUUGUCCAUGGUAUUGAUGAUCCUCGUCUUGGUGGGCCCCCGAUCCUUCACGUCUACUCUCGUCGAUCUAAGAGACCCCGGCAUUCUACACCAACGCCGUCUUUUUUUGAGUCGUUGAUUCUACGCGCUGCUGAAUCGGUGCCUAAACUUGCUGUAAAGACUGAAAUUUGUGGGUUUGAGGACUCGAUUGACAAUGAUUUGAAGAGGAAGGAAAAGAAGAGAAGGAUUGGGCGUAGUGAGUUGGUGAAGUUGGGAGUUGAUUCUAGCGUUUUGGGAGGUGUUGAGAGGCCGCGAUUGAGGGAUUGUCGCAAUCAUAAUGUGAAUAGUAAUAGUGGAACUUUACGGAGAAAGAAUCGUGGUUCUUUACAGAUUUCUGACAAGGUUUUAUCGCUGCCAGCUUCUGCUAAAAGAUGGGUCAGGUUGAGUUACGAUGAUGUCGAUCCAAAAAGGUUCAUUGGAUUAUCUUGCAAGGUUUAUUGGCCAUUGGAUGCUGAUUGGUAUUCUGGACGUGUUGUUGGGUACACUUCAGAGACUAAACGGCAUCAUGUUGAAUAUGAAGAUGGAGAUAAAGAGGAUUUGAUUCUUUCAAAUGAGAAAAUAAAAUUUUUUAUUUCUCGGGAGGAGAUGGAGCGGUUGAACUUGACUUUCAGUAUAAAAAAUACAGAUGGUGAUAACUAUGAUUAUGAUGAGAUGGUUGUGUUAGCUGCCGUUUUGGAUGACUGCCAAGAUCUUGAGCCUGGGGAUAUUAUAUGGGCAAAACUUACUGGUCAUGCUAUGUGGCCAGCAAUUGUUGUGGAUGAAUCACUUAUUGGUAAUCGUAAAGGCUUAAACAAAAUUUCUGGAAAAAAAUCAAUGUUUGUGCAAUUCUUUGGCACCCAUGAUUUUGCCAGAAUUAAACCGAAGCAGGUAAUCUCAUUUCUUAAAGGACUUCUUUCGUCUUUUCACCUUAAGUGCAGGAAACCUCAUUUCGCACGAAGCUUGGAAGAAGCAAAAAUGUAUUUGAGUGAGCAAAAGCUUCCAAGAAGAAUGCUACAGCUGCAAAAUAGCAUGAAUGGCGAUGCUAACUGUGACAGUGCGAGCAGUGAGGAUGAAGGGAGUACAGAUUCAGGUGAAGACUGCAGAAGAGAUGAAGGCAUACAAAGGAUAUUGAGAGGCCUUGAAACUUCUCCAUAUGUUAUUGGGGAUUUACAAAUAAUAAGCCUUGGAAAGAUUGUCAAGGACUCAGAAUAUUUCCAGGAUGAUAGAUUUAUCUGGCCUGAAGGAUAUACUGCCUUGCGGAAGUUUACGUCAAUAACAGAUCCAAGCGUUUGUACCAUAUAUAAAAUGGAAGUGUUGAGGGAUGCUGAGUCUAAGAUUCGGCCUCUAUUUAGAGUGACAUUGGAUGAUGGAGAGCAGGUCAGCUUUGAUUAAAUUAACCUAAACAACUUUUACUUUGAUUGUCUGUGCAUUUUGUGCAAUUGUUGACUUACUUUUCCUAUUUAACUGGUUGUGAACUCGUGAUUCUGUCCUAUUUUCAAUUUUUUGAGGGACUUAUCCUAUAUGGAAAUUGAACCAUUUUGCAUAAGCUACUAAAUCUUAAAAUCUUACUUAUGGAAUAAAGAUUGCAAUUGAGAAUUGAGAAGGUAUGAACUCUGUUUAAUGUCUAUUUUUAAUUGUUUUAUUUAUUUAUUUUUUAUUGCUAUAUAGACAUGAGUAGAGUGGCGCCUUGUCCCUCAAGUACUGAAUUGUGGAUGGUCUCGGAUGCAUUUUAAGUUUGGAUUUUACUAAUUAAACGUGAACAAAACAUUUGGUGAAAGUUUUCAGUAGUUAGUUGCAUGUUUUACCUUUUCCUCCUUUUGUGAUCUUUAUAUAUCUGGCACUGCUGCUUGAUAAAGAAUGAUUAUAGAAUAGAAUGUGUGAAAACAGACUCUUAGAAUUAUGGCAUCCUACUCAUCAAAUUUUAGAUUACAGUGUGCUAUUCUAUGUUCUGCUUUGUAAUUUUAUAAUGUUGUUGGAAUGGUUAAUUUGGAUCAUCUAAAGAACACUUGAGUUCAUGGUGCUGUGACAGGCAAAGUGCCUCUUUCUCAUAACCACCUGCAUUUUCUCUGUAGUUGCACUUUGCAUCAUAGUUAUUGUAACUGCAAUGGACUUGUAUGUUGGAUUGGAAAUGCAAUUACUUGAAUUUUCAAUUGGUCUAGGUGAGCACAUUGGAUGGUUUCCUGUGAAAAUUUGUCAAGAUGCAGGUGAAAUGGGAAGCUUAUUGGAGACUUUUGUGAUCAGAUGGUUUCUACAAAGCUGAAUGUGCUUUUGGUUUCUGACUAAAUGUUUGAACUGUGGAAUUCUCAAAUCCUAUUGCUUCAUUGUCAUAUCAAUUGGCCAAAGUUAUUUCUGGCCAAAUCAUUUUCUUUAUAUCCAUCAAGUCUAAGUUGUAGUUGGUUUUACAUCACCUAUUUUUUUCUCAUUUUACUACUUAGGUUUUGAGUUGCUGAAUGCAAUAUUUGUUCAUGAUAAUAUCAUUUUCACAGAUCAAAGGAUCCACUCCAUCCACUUGCUGGGAUAAAAUAUACAGAAGAAUAAGGAAAGUGCAAGAAAGUACUUCCAAUGGUUUUAGUGUUGAAGCUGGAGUAGACAGAUUCUAUGAAUCUGGUUCUGACAUGUUUGGUUUCUCUAAUCCUGAAGUUAUGAAACUUAUAAAGGGAUUAUCAAAAUCCAGACUAUCUUCUAAAAUGUCUUUGUGCAAAUUAACCUCUGAAAGGUAUCAGGACUUACCUGUUGGUUACAGACCUGUUCGUGUUGACUGGAAAGACCUUGAUAAGUGCAGCGUAUGCCAUAUGGAUGAGGAAUAUGAAAACAAUCUGUUCCUGCAGUGUGAUAAAUGCAGAAUGAUGGUCCAUGCCAGAUGCUAUGGAGAAUUAGAACCUGUUGAUGGUGUGCUAUGGUUGUGCAACUUUUGCCGUCCUGGGGCUCCUGAUUCCCCACCACCCUGCUGCCUUUGUCCUGUUAUUGGUGGUGCUAUGAAGCCUACGACUGAUGGGCGCUGGGCUCAUUUGGCUUGUGCCAUCUGGAUACCUGAAACUUGCUUGUCUGAUGUCAAGAGAAUGGAGCCUAUUGAUGGCUUGAAUAGGAUCAAUAAGGAUCGUUGGAAACUCUUAUGUAGCAUUUGUGGUGUAGCUUAUGGAGCCUGCAUUCAAUGUUCGAAUAAUACUUGUCGGGUGGCAUAUCAUCCUCUUUGUGCACGGGCAGCUGGCCUUUGUGUUGAGCUUGAGGAUGAGGAUAGACUCCACCUCCUUGCUGUAGAUGACGAUGAAGAGGAUCAGUGCAUUCGCCUUCUUUCCUUCUGCAAGAAGCACAGACAGCCAUCUAAUGAGCGUCCAGUUAUAGAUGAACGGAUUGGUCGAGUUACUCGCCGAUGUUCUGACUAUGUCCCUCCAUGUAAUCCAUCUGGCUGUGCUCGUACCGAGCCUUACAAUUAUUUUGGAAGAAGAGGGCGGAAAGAACCAGAAGCCCUUGCUGCUGCAUCCUUGAAGCGCUUGUUUGUUGAGAAUCAACCUUACUUGGUUGGAGGUUACUGUCAACAUCAAUCAUCGGGCAGUACACUACCUUCAAAUGGAGUCGUAGGCGCCAGAUUCUCUUCUAACCUUCAGAAAAUAAAAGCCUCUCAGCUUGAUGCUCCUAACAACAUUCUCUCUAUGGCUGAAAAGUAUAAUUACAUGUGGCAGACCUUCCGGAAGAGAUUAGCUUUUGGCAAAUCAGGAAUUCAUGGAUUUGGCAUCUUUGCAAAGCAUCCACAUAGGGCAGGGGACAUGGUUAUUGAAUACACUGGUGAACUUGUCAGGCCUCCUAUAGCUGACAGGAGGGAACACUUCAUAUACAAUUCAUUGGUGGGUGCUGGAACUUACAUGUUUCGCAUUAAUGAUGAAAGAGUCAUUGAUGCAACAAGGGCAGGAAGCAUUGCUCAUCUGAUUAAUCACUCAUGCGAGCCCAAUUGCUAUUCAAGAGUAAUAACUGUUAAUGGUGAUGAACAUAUAAUUAUAUUUGCAAAGAGAGAUAUCAAAAGAUGGGAAGAACUCACAUAUGAUUAUAGGUUUUUCUCGAUUGAUGAACAACUUGCAUGCUAUUGUGGCUUCCCACGAUGUCGUGGUGUGGUUAACGACAUUGAAGCUGAGGAGCAAGUGGCAAAGCUCUAUGCUCCUUGCAGUGAAUUGAUAGACUGGAACAGAGAUUAAGAAAAAAAAAUCUCUCAGGCAGAUUGUUUCCUCUCCACAAUCUGCUCAUCAUCAUUGCAUGCCAUUUUGUCAAAGACUAAUGGGUUGUGGAGCUCUUGUUUUUGUCAUCCCUUCUUUUGCUUUUACUCAUCUUAUUGCCAUAAUGCAAAAUAAUUGAUUCAGCUUUUUCUCUAGCUAGUUCCUGCACUCUGCCCGAGUAUAUUAGCUUAAGAAAGUUAAUGGAAACAACUUACUAAUCAAACUCGUAAUUUACAGGACACCCUAUUAAUUUAGUUUGUAUCUCAAAUUCUCAGUCUGUUUUACUUUGUAAAUCACCUUUAGGUAUCCUGAUACUUAUAUAUAAAACCUUUGUAAGGGCCUUUUCAAUUUUUCAAAUGAAAAGUUAGUCCUCAAGGAAUUUUG